rnacentral:rRNA from 1 species
CUGCCGUUAAACCCCCAACUUUUGAAAAUUUGACCUCGGAUCAGGUAGGAAUACCCGCUGAACUUAAGCAUAUCAAUAAGCCGGAGGAAAUGCGGAACGCGCCCAGGCACCCGAAACCCUUGGGAAAUUAUACCUACGGUUGCCGGCCAGGCUGACCCCGAAGGGCCUGAAAUA